AGGGAAUUUUGGACAAUGGGCGAAAGCCUGAUCCAGCAACGCCGCGUGCGCGAUGAAGGCCUUCGGGUUGUAAAGCGCUUUUAGAGGAGAUGAGAAAGGACAGUAUCCUCUGAAUAAGCCUCGGCGAACUACGUGCCAGCAGCCGCGGUAAAACGUAGGAGGCUAGCGUUAUCCGGAUUUAUUGGGCGUAAAGCGUGUGCAGGCGGUUAUGCAAGUUGGAUGUGAAAGCUCCUGGCUUAACUGGGAGAGGUCGUUCAAAACUGCAUGACUAGAGAAUGGGAGAGGGAGGUGGAAUUCCGGGUGUAGUGGUGAAAUGCGUAGAUAUCCGGAGGAACACCAGUGGCGAAAGCGGCCUCCUGGACCAUUUCUGACGCUCAGACACGAAAGCUAGGGUAGCAAACGG
rnacentral:rRNA from 1 species